UCUCACUAAAGCUCGAGGGACCAUGACUUGCAGUUUAAGUUUAUGGAUGACUAUAUAUAUAUAUAUGUAGUAUUACGGGAUUAGAAAGGUGGGUGGAUGAUAUUAAUAUAGAAACUAGAAAGUUACCGCAUCGGUCCAUCUUUGAAGUUGAAGGAGUAAUUGAGAGAUGGGACUGAUCUCAUGCUUUUUCAUCCGUCUUUUCACGUUGUUCAUAUUGAUCGUCUCUUCAUUCUUAGUCAUGCAAUCAUCUCAUUACGUUCACGCAGAUCCGAACCCGAGAAAAUUAAGGAUCAUACCAAGUCCACCCCCUCCUCCGAGUUCAGCCGCAGUACCACAUCAACAUGGCUAAUUUGGGACAUCCAUCUUACUAGUCUGGUUUAAUUAAUGAUUACGUAAAGUUUCUCUUCAGUUUAAAGAGAAAAUAUUACAUAAAGUAAUUGCUUGGAAUACAAUUUUUUACUUGUGUUACAUUAUUUCAUAUUGUCACCCUACUCAUUUUGUUUAUCAUUUGUGCUUAAGUAGGUUCAUAAUUAGUUAUCAGUGGGGUAUAACUUAUUUGGUUAAGCCCUUUUACUUCUACCUGUGCAAGCAGAGAUUUGAAACUCUCAGAUACCUAAUGAAUAUUUGUGUAAACCCUCUCUCCCCUAAUCUCUUGUAUUGUACUAAAGAAAAGUGUUAAUAAUUAGUUUAGCUAUUAAAAGUAUUGUUCCUAUA